rnacentral:rRNA from 1 species
UACGGAGGGAGCUAGCGUUGUUCGGAAUUACUGGGCGUAAAGCGCACGUAGGCGGCUUUGUAAGUUAGAGGUGAAAGCCCGGGGCUCAACUCCGGAACUGCCUUUAAGACUGCAUCGCUUGAAUCCAGGAGAGGUGAGUGGAAUUCCGAGUGUAGAGGUGAAAUUCGUAGAUAUUCGGAAGAACACGAGUGGCGAAGGCGGCUCACUGGACUGGUAUUGACGCUGAGGUGCGAAAGCGUGGGGAGCAAACAGG